GCAAGUCGAGCGGGGAAGUUAGCUUGCUAUACGACCUAGCGGCGGACGCCUGUUAAGGCUUAGGAAUCUGCCUAUUAGUGGGGGACAACACCCUUAAAGGAAUGCUAAUACCGCAUACGCCCUACGGGGGAAAGCAGGGGAUCUUCGGACCUUGCGCUAAUAGAUGAGCCUAAGUCAGAUUAGCUAGUUGGUGGGGUAAAGGCCUACCAAGGCGACGAUCUGUAGCGGGUCUGAGAGGAUGAUCCGCCACACUGGGACUGAGACACGGCCCAGACUCCUACGGGAGGCAGCAGUGGGGAAUAUUGGACAAUGGGCGAAAGCCUGAUCCUGCCAUGCCGCGUGUGUGAAGAAGGCCUUUUGGUUGUAAAGCACUUUAAGCGAGGAGGAGGCUACCGAGAUUAAUACUCUUGGAUAGUGGACGUUACUCGCAGAAUAAGCACCGGCUAACUCUGUGCCAGCAGCCGCGGUAAUACAGAGGGUGCGAGCGUUAAUCGGAUUUACUGGGCGUAAAGCGUGCGUAGGCGGCUUUUUAAGUCGGAUGUGAAAUCCCUGAGCUUAACUUAGGAAUUGCAUUCGAUACUGGGAAGCUAGAGUAUGGGAGAGGAUGGUAGAAUUCCAGGUGUAGCGGUGAAAUGCGUAGAGAUCUGGAGGAAUACCGAUGGCGAAGGCAGCCAUCUGGCCUAAUACUGACGCUGAGGUACGAAAGCAUGGGGAGCAAACAGGAUUAGAUACCCUGGUAGUCCAUGCCGUAAACGAUGUCUACUAGCCGUUGGGGCCUUUGAGGCUUUAGUGGCGCAGCUAACGCGAUAAGUAGACCGCCUGGGGAGUACGGUCGCAAGACUAAAACUCAAAUGAAUUGACGGGGGCCCGCACAAGCGGUGGAGCAUGUGGUUUAAUUCGAUG
rnacentral:rRNA from 1 species